rnacentral:rRNA from 1 species
CCUACGGGUGGCAGCAGUGAGGAAUAUUGGUCAAUAGGCGGAAGCCUGAACCAGCCAAGUAGCGUGCAGGAUGACGGCCCUACGGGUUGUAAACUGCUUUUAUACGGGAAUAACGCGCCUUACGUGUAGGGCUUUGCAUGUACCGUAUGAAUAAGGACCGGCUAAUUCCGUGCCAGCAGCCGCGGUAAUACGGAAGAUCCGGGCGUUAUCCGGAUUUAUUGGGUUUAAAGGGAGCGUAGGCCGCAUGUCAAGCGUGUUGUGAAAUGUCCGGGCUCAACCCGAGCCUUGCAGCGCAUACUGGCGUGCUUGAGUCCGCGUAAGGCAGGCGGAAUUCGUCGUGUAGCGGUGAAAUGCUUAGAUAUGACGAAGAACCCCGAUUGCGAAGGCAGCUUGCUAAAGUGGAACUGACGCUGAUGCUCGAAAGUGUGGGUAUCGAACAGGAUUAGAUACCCGUGUAGUC